rnacentral:rRNA from 1 species
UACGAAGGGGGCUAGCGUUGCUCGGAAUCACUGGGCGUAAAGGGUGCGUAGGCGGGUCUUUAAGUCAGGGGUGAAAUCCUGGAGCUCAACUCCAGAACUGCCUUUGAUACUGAAGAUCUUGAGUUCGGGAGAGGUGAGUGGAACUGCGAGUGUAGAGGUGAAAAUUCGUAGAUAUUGGGAAGAACACCGGUGGCGAAGGCGGCUCACUGGUCCGAUACUGACGCUGAGGUGCGAAAGCGUGGGGAGCAAACAGGG